rnacentral:rRNA from 1 species
AUUGAACGCUGGCGGCAGGCCUAACACAUGCAAGUCGAACGGUAACAGAAAGCAGCUUGCUGCUUUGCUGACGAGUGGCGGACGGGUGAGUAAUGUCUGGGAAACUGCCUGAUGGAGGGGGAUAACUACUGGAAACGGUAGCUAAUACCGCAUAACGUCGCAAGACCAAAGAGGGGGACCUUCGGGCCUCUUGCCAUCGGAUGUGCCCAGAUGGGAUUAGCUAGUAGGUGGGGUAACGGCUCACCAAGGCGACGAUCCCUAGCUGGUCUGAGAGGAUGACCAGCCACACUGGAACUGAGACACGGUCCAGACUCCUACUGGAGGCAGCAGUGGGGAAUAUUGCACAAUGGGCGCAAGCCUGAUGCAGCCAUGCCGCGUGUAUGAAGAAGGCCUUCGGGUUGUAAAGUACUUUCAGCGGGGAGGAAGGGAGUAAAGUUAAUACCUUUGCUCAUUGACGUUACCCGCAGAAGAAGCACCGGCUAACUCCGUG